rnacentral:rRNA from 1 species
CGAUAAGCGUCGGGGAGGUGCGAAUACCCUUUGAUCCGACGAUUUCCGAAUGGGGCAACCCACCUUAGAUGACUAGAAAAUCUGUUUUGUUGGAGCAACGCUGGAUGGGUUUACACCCAUACAGACCGCUAGGUCGUCGGCCCAUGUGGGCCGCCCCCGCGGAGCGCCAGCAUUCCUCUGGAAUGCGUACGGCGCGUGAGCGAGAACAGCACAGCUUUCUAGUCAUCAUAAAUAAGGUAUCUAACCUUGAAUACAUAGGGGUUAGAAGCGAACCUGGGGAACUGAAACAUCUAAGUACCCAGAGGAAAGGACAUCAAACGAGACUCCGCUAGUAGUGGCGAGCGAACGCGGACCAGGCCAGUGGCUUUUGUGAAUAAAGUGGAACGAGUUGGAAAACUCGACCGAAGUGGGUGAUAGUCCCGUACACGUAGAAUAGCAGAAGUCCUUGAGUAGGGCGGGACACGUGAAAUCCUGUCUGAACAUGGGUCGACCACGAUCCAAGCCUAAGUACUCGUGCAUGACCGAUAGCGAACCAGUACCGUGAGGGAAAGGUGAAAAGCACCCCGACGAGGGGAGUGAAACAGUACCUGAAACCGGAUGCCUACAAACAGUUGGAGCCCAAGGUUUGUCCUGGGUGACAGCGUACCUUUUGUAUAAUGGGUCAGCGACUUAGUGUAUCGAGCAAGCUUAAGCCGGUAGGUGUAGGCGCAGCGAAAGCGAGUCUGAACAGGGCGUUCAGUUCGAUGCAUUAGACCCGAAACCAAGUGAUCUAGCCAUGAGCAGGUUGAAGGUACGGUAACACGUACUGGAGGACCGAACCCAUAUCUGUUGCAAUAGAUCGGGAUGACUUGUGGCUAGGGGUGAAAGGCCAAUCAAACUUGGAGAUGGCUGGUUCUCCGCGAAAUCUAUUUAGGUAGAGCGUCGACCGAAUACCCCCGGGGGUAGAGCACUGGAUGGGCUAUGGGGACUCACCGUCUUACUGAUCCUAACCAAACUCCGAAUACCGGGGAGUACUAGUCGGCAGACACACGGCGGGUGCUAACGUCCGUCGUGGAGAGGGCAACAACCCUGACCACCAUCUAAGGUCCCUAAGUUAUGGCUAAGUGGGAAAGGAUGUGAGGAUCCCAAAACAACCAGGAUGUUGGCUUAGAAGCAGCCAUCAUUUAAAGAAAGCGUAACAGCUCACUGGUCUAAAUAAGGGUCUUUGCGCCGAAAAUGUACCGGGGCUCAAGCCAUACACCGAAGCUGUGGAUGCACGUAUGUGCGUGGUAGCGGAGCGUUCCGUAAGCCUGUGAAGGGACAGUCGUGAGACAUCCUGGAGGUAUCGGAAGUGAGAAUGCUGACAUGAGUAACGAUAAAGGGAGUGAGAGACUCCCUCGCCGAAAGUCCAAGGGUUCCUGCUUAAAGUUAAUCUGAGCAGGGUUAGCCGGCCCCUAAGGCGAGGCCGAAAGGCGUAGUCGAUGGGAACCACGUUAAUAUUCGUGGGCCUGCAGGUAGUGACGGAUCGCGUGUGUUGUGAGGUCUUAUUGGAUUGAUCUUGCAGCGAAGCGGUUCCAGGAAAUAGCUCCUGCAUAUAGACCGUACCCUAAACCGACACUGGUGGACUGGUA